AGUGAACGCUGGCGGUAGGCCUAACACAUGCAAGUCGAACGGCAGCACAGUAAGAGCUUGCUCUUACGGGUGGCGAGUGGCGGACGGGUGAGGAAUACAUCGGAAUCUACUUUUUCGUGGGGGAUAACGUAGGGAAACUUACGCUAAUACCGCAUACGACCUACGGGUGAAAGCAGGGGAUCUUCGGACCUUGCGCAAUUGAAUGAGCCGAUGUCGGAUUAGCUAGUUGGCGGGGUAAAGGCCCACCAAGGCGACGAUCCGUAGCUGGUCUGAGAGGAUGAUCAGCCACACUGGAACUGAGACACGGUCCAGACUCCUACGGGAGGCAGCAGUGGGGAAUAUUGGACAAUGGGCGCAAGCCUGAUCCAGCCAUACCGCGUGGGUGAAGAAGGCCUUCGGGUUGUAAAGCCCUUUUGUUGGGAAAGAAAGGCAGCAGGUUAAUACCCCGCUGUUCUGACGGUACCCAAAGAAUAAGCACCGGCUAACUUCGUG
rnacentral:rRNA from 1 species